UCCAGAUCAAUUUCUCAUCCAGCCUCCUGCAAUUAUUAAAACAUUAGUAGAACUUUUUACCAAACAUUGAAAAAAAAAUGAGAGAGCUUCUCUACUGAUGGGGAAGGCAAAGGAUUCUCUGUAGCUUGGACAAGGAAUUUGAAGAAUCUCUUGUCCUAUACCAUUUUCUACUCUUUGUCCCAGUCGUUGGUACCAGUUUUUCUGGCUUUUGAUCAACAUUAGAGCUGAGUUAGACAAGGUCAAGCUGCAUGCAGAUUGAUUGGCCUCUCAACUGAGAGGCACCCCACAAGAUGAUAGUGAAAGGCCGGGGUUCAUGGUGAUGUGUAGAAUAUCAUUUCUUGUCCUUGGCAUGUUCUCAGCUCUCCUGCUAAACCCAGUGUACACCCUGAUCUUCUUACCAGCCUAAUGAGUCCUUUGCUUUUUAUUCUUUUUGCCAUUCCUCCUACAUAGUAGGCACUUGUUAUUAAAGUGUGAUAAAUAUAUGCACCAGCUCCAAAUAAUACUGAGCCCAACGACUUCCACCAUGCAUAUGGGCCUGUGUGCUUAGUUUUUCAAAAGAGUACUUGCUUAAUUGUAGGUACUGCAUCUUCGUACACAGGAUGCUUUAUAUUUCAUGCUUGCUAAGCAGAAAUAACUUUAAAUCUUCAAUUUUGAAGUUUUAUAUUUAUGCAGCUUUUAUUUUAUUUUUAUUUUUAUUUUUUAUUUUUGAGACAGUCUC
rnacentral:lncRNA from 1 species